rnacentral:rRNA from 1 species
GAUGAACGCUAGCUACAGGCCUAACACAUGCAAGUCGAGGGGCAGCGGGAAGGAAGCUUGCUUUCUUCGCCGGCGACCGGCGCACGGGUGCGUAACGCGUAUCGAACCUACCCUUUACUCGGGAACAGCCUUGCGAAAGCAAGAUUAAUGCCCGAUGUUCCGCGUUUGCCGCAUGGCAAAUUCGGCAAAGAUUUAUUGGUAAAGGAUGGCGAUGCGUCCCAUUAGUUAGUUGGCGGGGUAACGGCCCACCAAGACGACGAUGGGUAGGGAUUCUGAGAGGAAGGUCCCCCCACAUUGGUACUGAGACACGGGACCAAACUCCUACGGGAGGCAGCAGUGAGGAAUAUUGGUCAAUGGCCGAGAGGGCUGAACCAGCCAAGUCGCGUGAAGGAAGAAGGGAUCUAUGGUUUGUAAACUUCUUUUAUAGGGGUAAUAAAGUGGAGGACGUGUCCUUUUUUGAUGUACCCUAUGAAUAAGCAUCGGCUAACUCCGUGCCAGCCGCCGCCGUAAU